AGAGUGAACGCUGGCGGCAGGCCUAACACAUGCAAGUCGAACGGCAGCACGAGAGAGCUUGCUCUCUUGGUGGCGAGUGGCGGACGGGUGAGGAAUACGUCGGAAUCUGCCUUUUUGUGGGGGAUAACGUAGGGAAACUUACGCUAAUACCGCAUACGACCUACGGGUGAAAGCGGAGGACCUUCGGGCUUCGCGCAGAAAGAUGAGCCGACGUCGGAUUAGCUAGUUGGAGGGGUAAUGCCCACCAAGGCGACGAUCCGAGCUGGUCUGAGAGGAUGAUCAGCCACACUGGGACUGAGACACGGCCCAGACUCCUACGGGAGGCAGGCAGGUAGGGGAAUAUUGGACAAUGGGGCGACAAGCCUAGAUCCAGCCAUGCCGUGUGGUGUAGAAGAACGGUCCUUCGGGUUAGUAAACGCUUACUUUUGGACCGGGAAAGAAAAGCAAGUACGUAAGUUAACGUUACCCGUUUAG
rnacentral:rRNA from 1 species